rnacentral:misc_RNA from 1 species
CCGAGUGAGGGCCCCCGGCCCGACCUCCAACCCCUGUUUUCCGACCCUGUUGCCUCGGGGGCGACCCGGCCUCUCCGGCCCCGCGCCCCCGGUGGACCACUCAACUCUGCAUCUUUGCGUCCGAGUCUGAAUACAAAUCAAUCA